UCCGGUUGAUCCUGCCAGAGGUUACUGCUAUCGAGGUUCGACUAAGCCAUGCGAGUCGAAUGUAGCAAUACAUGGCGUACUGCUCAGUAACACGUGGACAACCUACCCUUAGGUCGGGGAUAAACCCGGGAAACUGGGUAUAAUACCCGAUAGAUCUCGGCUGCUGGAAUGCAUCGAGAUCUAAAGCUCCGGCGCCUAAGGAUGGGUCUGCGGCCUAUCAGGUAGUAGUGGGUGUAGCGUACCUACUAGCCUACGACGGGUACGGGUUAUGAGAGCAAGAGCCCGGAGAUGGAUUCUGAGACACGAAUCCAGGCCCUACGGGGUGCAGCAGGCGCGAAAACUUUACAAUGCGGGAAACCGUGAUAAGGGGACACCGAGUGCCAGCAUCAUAUGCUGGCUGUCCGGGUGUGUAAACUACACCUGUUAGCAAGGGCCGGGCAAGACCGGUGCCAGCCGCCGCGGUAACACCGGCGGCCCGAGUGGUGAUCGUGAUUAUUGGGUCUAAAGGGUCCGUAGCCGGUUUGGUCAGUCCUCCGGGAAAUCUGACGGCUUAACCGUUAGGCUUUCGGGGGAUACUGCCAGGCUUGGAACCGGGAGAGGUAAGAGGUACUACAGGGGUAGGAGUGAAAUCUUGUAAUCCCUGUGGGACCACCUGUGGCGAAGGCGUCUUACCAGAACGGGUUCGACGGUGAGGGACGAAAGCUGGGGGGCACGAACCGGAUUAGAUACCCGGGUAGUCCCAGCCGUAAACGAUGCUCGCUAGGUGUCAGGCAUGGCGCGACCGUGUCUGGUGCCGCAGGGAAGCCGUGAAGCGAGCCACCCGGGAAGUACGGCCGCAAGGCUGAAACUUAAAGGAAUUGGCGGG
rnacentral:rRNA from 1 species